CGGGUGAGUAAUAUAUCGGAACGUACCCAAGAGUGGGGGAUAACGUAGCGAAAGUUACGCUAAUACCGCAUACGAUCUAUGGAUGAAAGCAGGGGACCUUCGGGCCUUGUGCUCCUGGAGCGGCCGAUAUCUGAUUAGCUAGUUGGUGAGGUAAAGGCUCACCAAGGCGACGAUCAGUAGCUGGUCUGAGAGGACGACCAGCCACACUGGAACUGAGACACGGUCCAGACUCCUACGGGAGGCAGCAGUGGGGAAUUUUGGACAAUGGGCGCAAGCCUGAUCCAGCAAUGCCGCGUGAGUGAAGAAGGCCUUCGGGUUGUAAAGCUCUUUUGUCAGGGAAGAAACGGCUGUGGCUAAUAUCCACGGCUAAUGACGGUACCUGAAGAAUAAGCACCGGCUAACUACGUGCCAGCAGCCGCGGUAAUACGUAGGGUGCAAGCGUUAAUCGGAAUUACUGGGCGUAAAGCGUGCGCAGGCGGUUUUGUAAGUCUGUCGUGAAAUCCCCGGGCUCAACCUGGGAAUUGCGAUGGAGACUGCAAGGCUAGAAUCUGGCAGAGGGGGGUAGAAUUCCACGUGUAGCAGUGAAAUGCGUAGAGAUGUGGAGGAACACCGAUGGCGAAGGCAGCCCCCUGGGUCAAGAUUGACGCUCAUGCAC
rnacentral:rRNA from 1 species